UUACUUUGGAAUUUGUUUAGGAUUUAGUUUUCUUUGUUUUAAAUACAAUUCUUCAAAAACACCCUGCUCCUCCCUCAUGCCUGCUUUUUGGGGUCCAACACGAUGCAACGUGACAGACAUUCCGUAAUGUGUACUUCUAGUAAAUGCCUCCAGCAGUUGAAUGUGUUUGCUGCCAUGAAAUUCAAGAAGUAGUGACUACGUCGACAAGGAGAGGAACACUUCAAUCAGGUGCUGGACUGCAUCACUGACCAUCCUGGACUCAAUUCUGUGUGCCUAGACCCAUAUGGAUUGCAGGUGGCAU